rnacentral:rRNA from 1 species
CAGUAGCCACGGUAAUACGUAGGGUGCGAGCGUUAAUCGGAAUUACUGGGCGUAAAGCGUGCGCAGGCGGUUUUGUAAGACAGGCGUGAAAUCCCCGGGCUCAACCUGGGAAUGGCGCUUGUGACUGCAAAGCUAGAGUGCGGCAGAGGGGGAUGGAAUUCCGCGUGUAGCAGUGAAAUGCGUAGAUAUGCGGAGGAACACCGAUGGCGAAGGCAAUCCCCUGGGCCUGCACUGACGCUCACGCACGAAAGCGUGGGGAGCAAACAGGAUUAGAUACCCCCGUAGUCCCUGUCUCUUAUAC